AGGAGAGUUUGAUCCUGGCUCAGAUUGAACGCUGGCGGCAGGCCUAACACAUGCAAGUCGAACGGUAGCAGGAUGUGCUUGCACAUCGCUGACGAGUGGCGGACGGGUGAGUAAUGCUUGGGAACUUGCCUUUGCGAGGGGGAUAACAGUUGGAAACGACUGCUAAUACCGCAUAAUGUCUACGGACCAAACGGGGCUUUUAGCUCCGGCGCAAAGAGAGGCCCAAGUGAGAUUAGCUAGUUGGUGAGGUAAAGGCUCACCAAGGCGACGAUCUCUAGCUGUUCUGAGAGGAAGAUCAGCCACACUGGGACUGAGACACGGCCCAGACUCCUACGGGAGGCAGCAGUGGGGAAUAUUGCACAAUGGGGGAAACCCUGAUGCAGCCAUGCCGCGUGUGUGAAGAAGGCCUUCGGGUUGUAAAGCACUUUCAGUUGUGAGGAAAGGUUGGUAGUUAAUACCUGCCAGCUGUGACGUUAACAACAGAAGAAGCACCGGCUAACUCCGUGCCAGCAGCCGCGGUAAUACGGAGGGUGCGAGCGUUAAUCGGAAUUACUGGGCGUAAAGCGCACGCAGGCGGUUUGUUAAGCUAGAUGUGAAAGCCCCGGGCUCAACCUGGGAUGGUCAUUUAGAACU
rnacentral:rRNA from 1 species